rnacentral:rRNA from 1 species
ACUUUGAUUAUGGCUCGGGACGAACGCUGGCGGCGCGCCUAACACACGCAAGUCGAGCGGGAAGCUUUUUAAGGAUUCUUCGGAUGAAUUAAAAAGUGGAGAGCGGCGGACGGGUGAGUAACGCGUGAGAAACCUGCCCUAUACAGGGGGAUAGCCAUUGGAAACGAUGAUUAAUACCCCAUAUGACCACAGUAUCGCAUGAUACAGCGGUGAAAACUCCGGUGGUAUAGGAUGGUCUCGCGUCUGAUUAGCUAGUUGGUGGGGUAACGGCCUACCAAGGCGACGAUCAGUAGCCGGCCUGAGAGGGUGACCGGCCACACUGGAACUGAGACACGGUCCAGACUCCUACGGGAGGCAGCAGUGGGGAAUAUUGCACAAUGGGCGAAAGCCUGAUGCAGCGACGCCGCGUGAACGAUGAAGGCUUUCGAGUCGUAAAGUUCUGUUCUUGGGGAAGAUAACGACGGUACCCAAGGAGAAAGCACCGGCUAAAUACGUGCCAGCAGCCGCGGUA